rnacentral:tRNA from 1 species
GGGCGUGGUUCAAUGGUAGAACACGAGCCUUCCAAGCUUGGGACGAGGGUUCGAUUCCCUUCGCCC